rnacentral:rRNA from 1 species
CCUACGGGAGGCAGCAGUGGGGAAUCUUGCGCAAUGGGCGAAAGCCUGACGCAGCAACGCCGCGUGCGGGAAGAAGGCUUUCGGGCUGUAAACCGCUUUCAGCAGGAACGAAAAUGACGGUACCUGCAGAAGAAGGAGCGGCCAACUAUGUGCCAGCAGCCGCGGUGAUACAUAGGCUUCAAGCGUUGUCCGGAUUUAUUGGGCGUAAAGAGUUCGUAGGCGGUCGAGUAAGUCGGGUGUGAAAAUUCUGGGCUCAACCCAGAGACGCCACCCGAUACUGCUUGACUUGAGUUCGAUAGGGGAGUGGGGAAUUCCUAGUGUAGCGGUGAAAUGCGCAGAUAUUAGGAGGAACACCGGUGGCGAAGGCGCCACUCUGGAUCGAUACUGACGCUGAGGAACGAAAGCAUGGGUAGCAAACAGGAUUAGAUACCCUGGUAGUCCAUGCCGUAAACGGUGGGCACCAGGUGUGGGUUUCUAUUAACGAAAUCCGCGCCGUCGCUAACGCAUUAAGUGCCCCGCCUGGGGAUACGGGUCGCAAGACUAAAACUCAAAAUGAAAUUGACGG